AACGAACGCUGGCGGCGUGCCUAACACAUGCAAGUCGAACGGAUUGAAGGGGCUUGCUCCUUCAGUUAGUGGCGCACGGGUGAGUAACGCGUAGAUAAUCUGCCUGAUGAUCCGGGAUAACAGUUCGAAAGGACUGCUAAUACCGGAUAAGCCCACGUGGCCUUUGGACCGUGCGGGAAAAGGGGGGGACCUUCGGGCCUUCUGUCAUCAGAUGAGUCUGCGUACCAUUAGCUAGUUGGUAGGGUAAAGGCCUACCAAGGCUACGAUGGUUAGCUGGUUUGAGAGAAUGAUCAGCCACACUGGAACUGAGACACGGUCCAGACUCCUACGGGAGGCAGCAGUGGGGAAUUUUGCGCAAAGGGCGAAAGCCUGACGCAGCAACGCCGCGUGAGUGAUGAAGGCUUUCGGGUCGUAAAGCUCUGUCGAGGGGAAAGAAGUGUACGGGGGCUAAUAUCCUCUGCACUUGACGGUACCCCUAAAGGAAGCACCGGCUAACUCCGUGCCAGCAGCCGCGGUAAUACGGGGGGUGCAAGCGUUGUUCGGAAUUAUUGGGCGUAAAGAGCGUGUAGGCGGUUUGUUAAGUCUGGUGUGAAAGCCCUGGGCUCAACCCAGGAAGUGCAUUGGAAACUGGCAGACUUGAAUACGGGAGAGGGCAGUGGAAUUCCUAGUGUAGGAGUGAAAUCCGUAGAUAUUAGGAGGAACACCGGUGGCGAAGGCGGCUGCCUGGACCGAUAUUGACGCUGAGACGCGAAA
rnacentral:rRNA from 1 species